UACGGAGGAGGCAAGCGUUAUCCGAAAUUAUUGGGCGUAAAGCGUCCGCAGGUGGCACUUCAAGUCUGUCGUCAAAGACUGGGGCUUAACCCUGGAAAGGCGGUGGAAACUGAAGCGCUAGAGUGCGGUAGGGGUAGAGGGAAUUCCCGGUGUAGCGGUGAAAUGCGUAGAGAUCGGGAAGAACAUCGGUGGCGAAAGCGCUCUACUGGACCGCAACUGACACUCAGGGACGAAAGCUAGGGGAGCAAACGGG
rnacentral:rRNA from 1 species